GGGUGUAUGGCUAAGUGGUUAACAGCAAUAGACUUUUAAUUUAUAGAUCUUAGGUUCGAAUCCUAAUACACUCA
rnacentral:tRNA from 1 species